rnacentral:rRNA from 1 species
GUAUGGAGCAAGCGUUAUCCGGAUUUACUGGGUGUAAAGGGUGCGUAGGUGGCAGUGCAAGUCAGAUGUGAAAGGCCGGGGCUCAACCCCGGAGCUGCAUUUGAAACUGCUCGGCUAGAGUACAGGAGAGGCAGGCGGAAUUCCUAGUGUAGCGGUGAAAUGCGUAGAUAUUAGGAGGAACACCAGUGGCGAAGGCGGCCUGCUGGACUGUUACUGACACUGAGGCACGAAAGCGUGGGGAGCAAACAGGAUUAGAUACCCUGGUAGUCCACGCCGUAAACGAUGAUUACUCGACGUGUGCGAUAAACGGUACGCGUCUGAGCGAAAGCAUUAAGUAAUCCACCUGGGAAGU